rnacentral:lncRNA from 1 species
GCCUACGAUAUCGAAGCUCUUGGUCUCUUCAAAGGCAAUUUGGUCUCUGAGAUUUUAAGAACAAUAUUUGCUUCCAUUUUUUACAUAAACUUUGUAGUGAACCCAUUAAUUUAUGUCGUACGUUUGCCAAACUAUCGGAAAACAUUUUAUUUGCUGUAUUGCAAAAGAGGGUCUUGACUUUGAAACGCGGGGGUAUAACUACAAUUCCAUGC